CAGGAUUGCACCGCCCCCUCCCCCUAGGAAACGCAUGACCCUUCCAAUUCACAAAAAAAAAAAAAACACGCCCCGCUGGUAGUAGCCGGUCAAUCUCGACUUUUUUGGCUGCUAUCCCUUUUUCCCCCUAAUUUGGUGGUGUGACUGCAAGCGGUUCGAGCGACGCGGCGGGUGGUGCGUGCGGCGGAUCUGCGGGUGGUGGUGGUCGUGGCCUUGCAUCGACCAUGGCCGCUUCCUCCUCUCCGUCGGCCACGACGACGCUACUCCACCCAGCGGACUCGGACGAUAUCAUGGUGAGUACUGAGUAGUGCGGCACCAGUUGGAGCGGCAGAGCACACCUGCGCAUCGUCACCACCAAGAACACGGCGGGGCAGCAGUCGAGCGGAUCCGCUUGCUCUCUGACGUCGUCCACGCCUAGUAGUCCAUGCUUGCCACCGCGCACAACUGCCUCGCCACCAAGGACGCGCGUCUGAUCCGUCGUCCAGAUGCAGUAUAGUACGCCAUUACCUACGACACCAUCAAGAACCACAGAACACGGUGUCAGGAUCUUUGACAGAACAGAGUUUUGCUGACAUGGUGUUUGAGGCUAUAAUUGAUGAGGUUUAACCCUGGAGAGCUGCAGGCUGCUUGUCUUCUUUCUGAAUCGCGUUCCUGCUAUUUUCUCCGGGCUGACCCUGUAAAGAAAUGAGGUUUAAUCGUGUAUUUAUGUCGGUAGUGAGGCUAUCAGCUUGCUCUUGGAGGCCAUGUAUAGAGUCCCAUCUAUGUUUUCUUGCGAGCUGACCCUGUAAAUUCCAGUUUUGUGUUUCUUAGAACCGAUACUGUAAAUUCUUCAGUGUAUUUUAAUGAAGUUUGGCAAGAAUCCCUUUGAGAUAA